ensembl:lncRNA
AUGGCAUCUCUUCGGGACUCAAGAGUCACUACAGCUUCCAGGGUUAUUAAUCUAGAAAAAGACAAACACAGUCAUUUCUACAACCAAAAAAGUGACUUCAGAAUUGAACAUAGUAUGCUGGAAGAAUUGGAAAAUAAACUGAUUAACAGCAGGAAAACAGAAAGAGCAAAAAUCCAGCAACAAUUGGCCAAAAUAUACAACAAUGUAAAGAAACUUCAGCAUCAGUUAAAAGAUGCCAAGCCUACACCUGAUUUUGUUGAAAAGCUCAGAGAAAUGAUGGAGGAAAUUGAAAAUGCAAUUAACACUUUUAAGGAAGAGCAGAGGUUGAUAUAUGAAGAGCUUAUUAAAGAAGAGAAAACAACUAAUAAUGAGUUGAAUGCCAUAUCAAGAAAAAUUGACACAUGGGCUUUGGGUAAUUCAGAAACAGAGAAGGCUUUCAGAGCAGCAUUGAGCAAAGUUCCUGUGGACAAAGUCACACCAAGUGCUCUUCCAGAAGAAGUGGUAGAGUUUGAAACGUUCCUUCAGGAGACGGGAGGGCGCCAGGGGGGCUGGGAUGAUUAUGACCACCAGAACUUUGUGAAGAUGAGAAGCAAGCAUAAAGGGAAGCCAGUGUUCAUGGGAGAAGUUCUGGAGCACCUUCCCGGAAGAACGCAGGAUGAAGUUCAACAGCAUGAGAAAUGGUAUCAAAAAUUUCUGGCCCUGGAAGAAAGAAAAAAAGAGUCUAUUCAGCAUUGGAAAACCAAAAAGCAACAAAAAAAGGAGGAAAUUUUCAAAUUAAAGGAAAAAGACAGCAUACAAGUACUUUCUCAUAGUAAACAGGAAGAUAAUCAAAAACAAAAAGAAGAACAAAGAAAGAAGCAAAAAUUGGCCAUUGAAGCUUGGAAAAAACAGAGAAGUAUAGAAAUGUCAAUGAAAAACGCUUCCCAGUUAAAAGAGGAAGAAGAGAAAGAGAAAAAGCAGCAGAGAGAGCGUCAGCGCCAGUGUAAACUGAAAUUGCUGCUGGAAACGUACACCCAACAGAAGAAAGAACAGGAAGAAUUUUUGAGACUUGAAAAGGAGAUACGGGAAAAGACAGAAAAGGCAGAAAAAAGGAAAACUGCUGCUGAUGAAAUUUCCAGGUUUCAAGAAAGAGAUUUACAUAAACUUGAAUUGAAAAUUCUGAAUAGACAAUUAAAGGAAGAUGAGAAGGCAGAAAAACAAAGAAAACUGGCAAAAUUAAAAGAAAAGGUUGAAAACAAUGUUAGUAGAGAUCCCUCUAGACUUUACAAACCUACCAAAGGUUGGGAAGAACGGACCAAAAAGAUAGGACCAACAGGCUCUGGGCCACUUCUACAUAUCCCACAUAGGGCUAUUCCAACCUGGAGACAAGGAGUUAAAAUAUGG